rnacentral:sRNA from 1 species
CUAUAGAACUAUAGAUAAUUAGAUAUCAUACACUAUAAAAGCUGUGUGACAUGGUGUGUGAGUUGCUGUUGGAGGAGUCCAAUGUACAACCUGUUCAGACACCUGUGACUGUCUGUGGAGACAUCCAUGGUCAGUUUUAUGAUUUAAUGGAACUAUUCAGAACUGGGGGA